rnacentral:rRNA from 1 species
UACGUAGGAGACGAGCGUUGUCCGGAUUUACUGGGCGUAAAGGGUGCGCAGGUGGCGGCGCGCGUGGGGGGUGAAAUCGCCCGGCUUAACUGGGCGGGGGCCUUCCAGACGGCGUGGCUUGAGCAGCGGAGGGGGACGUGGAAUUCCGGGUGGAGCGGUGAAAUGCGUAGAUAUCGCUUGGAACGCCAACGGUGAAAACAGGUUGCUGGGGGUGUGCUGACGCUGAGACACGAAAGCCAGGGGAGCGAACGGG